CCUACGGGUGGCAGCAGUGGGGAAUUUUGGACAAUGGGGGAAACCCUGAUCCAGCCAUUCCGCGUGAGUGAAGAAGGCCUUCGGGUUGUAAAGCUCUUUCGGCAGGAACGAAACGGCGGACUCUAACAUAGUCUGUCAAUGACGGUACCUGAAGAAGAAGCACCGGCUAACUACGUGCCAGCAGCCGCGGUAAUACGUAGGGUGCGAGCGUUAAUCGGAAUUACUGGGCGUAAAGCGUGCGCAGGCGGCUUUGUAAGACGGAUGUAAACUCCCUGGGCUUAACCUAGGAACUGCGUUCGUGACUGCAAGGCUAGAGUGCGGCAGAGGGGGGUGAAAUUCCUGGUGUAGCAGUAAAAUCCGUAGAUAUUGGGAGGAACACCGGUGGCGAGGGCGGCUCUCGGGACCGAUACUGACGCUGAGACGCGAAAGCGUGGGGAGCAAACAGGUUUAGAUCCCCUAGUAGU
rnacentral:rRNA from 1 species